AAUAAGUUUUAUUCUUGCUUGUUCAUUUAGUUUAUGCUUGUUCUAUAUGUAAAUUUUUGUGUGGGUUAUAUUCCUUUGUUCUAGAUGGGUUAGAGGGGUGGUUUAUGUUAGGUUAAUUCUCAUUAGUUGUUAUUGUUUUGGUCAAGUUCCCUUGUAUUCAGUAAUUCAUUUUAGUUUCGGUUAAAUUUUGUGCCAGCAGCCGCGGUUAUACCUUGGAAGCAUUUGAAUGUGUUUGGUAUUUGCAGUUAUAUGUUAUAUUUAUUUGGAUUUUUUGUUGUUAGUUUAUUUAGGUGAAAUUUUUAUUUUGUUUACCUUUUUUUAUUUGUUUGGAGGCUGUGAAAUUCCUUUUUAUAAACUAGGAUUAGAUACCCUAUUAUUUUGGAAUGUUAAUUAUUUUGCCUGAGUAGUAUUAGUUAUGUUCUUGAAACUUAAAGAAUUUGGCGGUAUCUUAUUCCGUCCAGAGGAAUCUGCCCCGUUAUCGAUAGUCCGCGUUGGACCUUACUUGGUUGAUUUGGUUUGUAUACCGCCGUUUAUUGUUUAUCUUUUUAGAGUUAAUAAUUUUCUUGUUUCUUUAUUUUGAUUUAUUUCAGGUCAAGGUGCAGCUUGUUUCUAAGUGGAAUGGUGGAUUACAUUGUUAUUUGUCUUAUUGGAUUGUUUGAUUUAAAAAUAUUGACAUGAAAUUGGAUUUGGUUGUAAUGCUUUGUAGAUUGUUUUCGUGAUAAGUGGUUCUGAGAUAUGCACACAUCGCCCGUCGCUCUCGUUUAGAAUUGUUAAUGAGAUAAGUCGUAACAAAGUGGUUGUACCGGAAGGUGCGGCUGGAAUGAA
rnacentral:ncRNA from 1 species